rnacentral:lncRNA from 1 species
UUCCCUAUCAAUCCAUGGAUAGUUACCAAGAGGAAGGCAUGAUGCUACCCAACCUUAUUAUCCUGUAAUGACUGUCAAGCCCCCCAAGAAAGUCUGUGCAGAGGUCACUGAUGCUCCCUGUCUUUCAUUGUGUCAGAUUGCACCAUUUGAAAACACCUGCAGAACAGCAUAGAAACAUCAGGAGCUUGAGCUUGCUGGUAACUGGUGGCUACAAAAUGAAGGCUCCUUUACAAUCCAGGGUAUCAGAGAAUCUAAUAUUGGAGACUAAUUCACACCAACAUGACUCAUCCCAACUCUUUCAACAGCAAAUGUGCUGGGCAUUGUUCCAAUCACUGAAGAAACAACAGACAAAACACAUUUGGAGCUUAUAUUCUAGUAAUCAUCUCUGGGGAAUAAAAUUAUGGCUGAUUUCUAUUUUUUAACUUUUCACUUAUUCUUGAUUUUUUAAAAAUCCAGAACAUAUUUUUUCUAUAAAUAAAAACAUGGAGAAAAAAUAUGACA